rnacentral:lncRNA from 1 species
CUUCACAUGGAUCACCAUCCUACGGUCCAUUGCUCACCUAAUUUUCAAUCGAACGGUUUAAAAAUACCUCUAGAAACACAAAAUCCUUAAACCCACAAACAUCAAAAUACCACCUUUCAAAGUUCAGUUGAACUUUACGCAACCAACACUGCCAAUCGAUCUUAUCUUCUCCAUCUCCUCAAAACAACUUUACGGCAACCAAACUGCUUCAAAGUUUACCACCCUUCAAAGUUCAGUUCAAGUCGAUCUUAUCUUCUCCAUCUCCUCAAAGUUCAGUUCAACAAAUAUCACCCCCCCCCUUCGGUUGCGGUUCGUUCUGGUCGCGAGGGAUGUUAGAGCUUGUUGCCGGCUCUCAGUUCUUCACCUAGGUCGUGCCGGAAACUAGAUUUGCAGUUCAGUUCAACAAAUAUCACCGCCCCCCCUUCAGAUGAAGAUGAUGAGGUUUUGAGGGCCGGCGACCGGAGACGCUGCUCACGGCGGCGGUCUUUAUCUCCGACCGGAGACGCCGCUCACGGUAAACCCUCCUGUUUGUGAUCAAUCACCUGAUACAUCUUGCAAAGUCCCCCUCUGCAGAAAUUUAAAACGAAAGGGCAGCAAGUGAAUAACAAAAAGAAAGAAGCAAGAUGGGAAUUUCUAGUUAGAAAAGUGGAAGCAGCUAAAGCUGUAUCGUCAGAUAUGUAAUUUUAUUUUGUUUAUGCUAGUAGAUUUUAAACAUUUUUUGUAUGUAAAUUUGUAUAAAUUUAUGAUUAAUGUUAUUGAAUUUUUAUA